ensembl:lncRNA
GUGUGUGUAUAUAUUGUAGUGUGCAGGGGUGUGUGCUCUUAUGUAUGUGUGUGUGUGUAUAUUGUAGUGUGCGGGUGUGUGUGCGCUUAUUUGUGUGUGUGUGUGUGUGUGUUUGUGUGUGUGUGUGUGUGUAUGUGUGUAUAUAUUGUAGUGUGCAGGGGUGUGUGCGCUUAUGUGUUUGUGUGUGUGUGUGUGUAUAUAUUGUAGUGUGCAGGGCUGUGUGUGUGUAUAUAUUGUAGUGUGCAGGGGUGUGUGUGUGUGUGUGUGUGUGUGUAUAUUGUAGUGUGUAGGUGUGUGUGCUCUUACGUGUGUGUAUAUAUUGUAGUGUGCAGGGGUGUGUGUGUAUAUAUUGUAGUGUGCAGGUGUGCAGGGUGUGUGUGUGUGUGUGUGUGUGUGUGUGUGUGUGUGUGUGUGUGUGUAUAUAUUGUAGUGUGCAGGGUGUGUGUGUGUGUGUGUGUGUGUGUGUGUGUGUAUAUAUUGUAGUGUGCAGGGUGUGUGUGUGUGUGUGUGUGUGUGUAUAUUGUAGUGUGUAGGGGUGUGUGCGCUUAUGUUUGUGAUCCCAGUAUGGUGAGUUCACCCAUAAUUCCGAGCGUUUAGUAGCUGUAGGGUGGAAUGUGUAUUUAUAUGUGUAAUGUUCGUGUGUAGGUCAGUGUGUAUCUUCUGUUAGUGAUUAGGAGUCUGUUGUGUGUUGUGUUAUGCCUAAUGUAGUUUCCUCAUGUAUCCGCAUCUGUGUCCACCCUUCCCCUGUAAACUGUGUC